rnacentral:misc_RNA from 1 species
GUGAAUCAUCGAAUCUUUGAACGCAAAUUGCACUCUCCUCGGAGAGUAUGCCUGUUUGAGUGUCAGACUAUAAAAAAUCGACAUCGUUGCUGUUUCGCGGUGGUGUUCGUCGGAAAUUGGGUUAUCUUGUAUCCUUUUGAUUUAAGUGACUUACAAUUUUCUUUUGGUUCCACGAACGCUCCUAUGAUCUAUUUCUUUACACGCUUAAGGUAUCGAUUUUCACCUGACGAGACCAUAAUAUCG